rnacentral:tRNA from 1 species
AAGCAUAGAAGUAAAUUUUACAAUUAGUUUCGACCUAAUCUUAAGGUUAUUAUUCCUCAUGUUUA